rnacentral:rRNA from 1 species
UGGGGAAUUUUGCACAAUGGGGGAAACCCUGAUGCAGCGACGCCGCGUGAUUUAGAAGGCCUUCGGGUUGUAAAAAUCUUUUCUAUGGGAAGAAAAUGACAGUACCAUAGGAAUAAGGACCGGCUAAUUACGUGCCAGCAGCCGCGGUAAUACGUAAGGUCCGAGCGUUGUCCGGAAUCAUUGGGCGUAAAGGGUACGUAGGCGGGUAAGCAAGUUAGAAGUGAAAUCCUGUAGCUCAACUACAGUAAGCUUUUAAAACUGCUCAUCUUGAGAUAUGGAAGGGAAAGUGGAAUUCCUAGUGUAGCGGUGAAAUGCGCAGAUAUUAGGAGGAAUACCGGUGGCGAAGGCGACUUUCUGGCCAUAACCUGACGCUGAGGUACGAAAGCGUGGGUAGCAAACAGG